AUCAAAUUGUGUAUUGAAACGUAAAAUUGUAAAAUUGUACACGAAAACAAUAUUUCUUUUCAAUUCGGAACAUUUAACAACGAUUUCGUAUAACGACCUUUCAUAUUAUAUCCUUACACAUUUAUUGUGUGUGUAGGCCAUCAAAAAGGCUGUAUGAAUCGGAUAGUGGCACUGAUGAGAAUGAGACAGACACAGAGAGUAGGCCACCACAAGUUAUUGACCAAGCAACAACGCCCAAAGAGUCACAAAGCCUACUUUCAUCUCCGCCUCGCUUAUCUGCACAGGCAUUGCGAGAGGCCAGCAGUGAUGUGCAAAGUGCUUCUCCAAUACAAGGUGCUUCUGAUACACCCUUCCGUGGGCAGAUUAUUGGGCCCACUGCUGUUACACAGAUUCUCCGAGUCUUGGAGACAAUGCGAGAGAAGAAUCGUGAAAUUAAGAGGAUGGUGCAGCGAAUGCUGUUAUAAAGGUCAGCAGCAGAUGACCAACCGCUGCAACUUCCGAAAGAUAUCUCAUUCCCUAUUCGUUAUCCUGUGCAGAUGGAAGCAUUCGAUAAGCUUCUGGGAGAUCAGACAAUGCUCUCAUCUGUGGUGCGGUUCCUCUCAAUGUUUGGUAUGGCAGAUGUACGGGAAACUGUUGACCGCUUGAUGAAAGGAACCAUGUCAAAUGAACUGGCAAGAAUGUACAAUAUGAAGUGGCUGAAGGGGAAGAAAAAGUUUGUGGGCCUCUAGAUACUGAAUGUAUUAUAUGAAUGUGUCCAAAGGAACUUGCCGACAAAGGCUGCAACGAGGAAGGAUGUUGAAAUAGAGGUUUCAAAGUGGCUGGCUGGGGGGCGGGACCGCGAUGGGGGAAGGAAAGCAAGAAAUAAAGUGUCAGAGACCUUACCUGAAGAAAAUGAAGGAAGUGACUAGACAUUUUUUUAAUUUAAAAAUGCAAAUUUAUAGAGGAUAUUUGUUUGUUUGUGUG